rnacentral:rRNA from 1 species
GAUGAACGCUAGCUACAGGCUUAACACAUGCAAGUCGCGGGGCAUCAUGGAGGUUGCUUGCAAUUUCUGAUGGCGACCGGCGCACGGGUGAGUAACGCGUAUCCAACCUUCCCAUUACUACGGCAUACCCCGUUGAAAGGCGGCCUAAUUCCGUAUGCAGUCCGAAGCAGUCAUCUAAUUUGGACGAAAGGUAUAUUCUAUCGGUAAUGGAUGGGGAUGCGUCCGAUUAGCCAGCCGGCGGGGUAACGGCCCACCGGGGCAUCGAUCGGUAGGGGUUCUGAGAGGAAGGUCCCCCACACUGGAACUGAGACACGGUCCAGACUCCUACGGGAGGCAGCAGUGAGGAAUAUUGGUCAAUGGGCGUAAGCCUGAACCAGCCAAGUAGCGUGCAGGAUGACGGCCCUAUGGGUUGUAAACUGCUUUUAUGCGGGGAUAAAGUUGGGGACGUGUCCCUUUUUGCAGUACCGCAUGAUA